rnacentral:rRNA from 1 species
GUCUACGGCCAUGCUACCCCAAACAAGCCCGAUCUCGUCUGAUCUCAGAAGCUAAGUAGGGUCGAGCCUAGUUAGUACUUGGAUGGGAGACCACCUAGGAAGACCAGGUGCUGUAGGCA